GACGAACGCUGGCGGCGUGCUUAACACAUGCAAGUCGAACGGAAAGGCCCCUUUGGGGGUACUCGAGUGGCGAACGGGUGAGUAACACGUGAGUAACCUGCCCUUGACUUCGGGAUAACUUCAGGAAACUGGGGCUAAUACCGGAUAGGAAUCCUUGCUGCAUGGUGGGGGUUGGAAAGCUUCGGCGGUUUUGGAUGGACUCGCGGCUUAUCAGCUUGUUGGUGGGGUAGUGGCUUACCAAGGCUUUGACGGGUAGCCGGCCUGAGAGGGCGACCGGCCACAUUGGGACUGAGAUACGGCCCAGACUCCUACGGGAUGCAGCAGUGGGGAAUAUUGCACAAUGGGCGGAAGCCUGAUGCAGCAACGCCGCGUGCGGGAUGACGGCCUUCGGGUUGUAAACCGCUUUCAGCAGGGGCGAAGCUUGUGGUGACGGUACCUGCAGAAGAAGCACCGGCUAACUACGUG
rnacentral:rRNA from 1 species